rnacentral:lncRNA from 10 species
CUUCCGGAGAGACGGAGAGCUCCUAGAAGCAGCGCCUCCCAGCAGAAGCAGAAUCUUGCCCUGGGGAGGAGUACAGCUCAGAACCCGCAGACUCGGGGUCAAAUCCCAGCUCUGUGACUUUCUUGAUGCGUGACCUUGGGAGGCAGCUUUGCUGCCCUGAGCCCUGUUUCCUCCCCGGAAAACCCAUAAUAAUAACUGUACCUCUUCCAGUGAGGAGACAAGGUGGAAUAGAACGCAGAGCCCACGUGUGCCUGGCACUUGACGGAGUCUCACUCUGUCACCAGGCUGGAGUACAGUGGUGUGAUCUCGGCUCACUGCAACCUCCGCCUCCCAGGUUCAAGCGAUUCUCCUGCCUCAGCCUCUCAAGUAGCUGAGAUUACAGACGUGUGUCACCAUGCCCUGUUAAUUUUUGUUUGUUUGUUUUGUUUUUUGUUUUGUUUUGUUUCGUUUUUUGUUUUUUUUUUUUGAGACGG